rnacentral:rRNA from 1 species
AGUGAACGCCGGCGGUAGGCCUAACACAUGCAAGUCGAACGGCAGCACAGUAAGAGCUUGCUCUUACGGGUGGCGAGUGGCGGACGGGUGAGGAAUACAUCGGAAUCUACUUUUUCGUGGGGGAUAACGUAGGGAAACUUACGCUAAUACCGCAUACGACCUACGGGUGAAAGCAGGGGAUCUUCGGACCUUGCGCGAUUGAAUGAGCCGAUGUCGGAUUAGCUAGUUGGCGGGGUAAAGGCCCACCAAGGCGACGAUCCGUAGCUGGUUUGAGAGGAUGAUCAGCCACACUGGAACUGAGACACGGUCCAGACUCCUACGGGAGGCAGCAGUGGGGAAUAUUGGACAAUGGGCGCAAGCCUGAUCCAGCCAUACCGCGUGGGUGAAGAAGGCCUUCGGGUUGUAAAGCCCUUUUGUUGGGAAAGAAAAGCAGCAGGUUAAUACCCCGCUGUUCUGACGGUACCCAAAGAAUAAGCACCGGCUAACUUCGUG